UUGAUGCACGCAAUUGUAAUUAAUGUUAUGGAUGGAUUGCAUUAUUAGAUUUAAAUCUAUCUAUAAUCGUGAUUAUUAUUGUAGAUUAACAGAUAUAUUUUUAAAACAUAAUUAGUUGUCAGAUCCGCCAGGGAAACAUGGUUAUCAUAACAAACAAAAGCAAUGGACUUGUUUACGGUAUAACCGUGAUCUCAGUAUGUUUUUAGUAUUACCACAAUAAUCUUGUCACAUUUUAAGCCCCAACGCAUGUCGGUUCAAAUGGAAGAAAAUAAAAGCACAGCACAGGUGAAUCUAUUCUGUGAUAAAAGUAUUUUGUUUUGUGAUUUAAAUUUAAAGUAUUAUUUGCAAAUUACGAACUAAGAUGGGUCGUCCAUCAAAGCAAAAACGAGAAUGAAACAGAUGAACUAUUUGAUGAUGUCAUGACAUACACAAAUUAAGAUUAUAAAAUAUUUCAUACUUUAUAAAUAUUAAUUCUUAGUACUCUGUGAUACUAAAAUUUGUAAUCGAUAAGGUGCUUAAGUUAUUUUUUUUAAGGUAACAAAUGUUAAUACAACUAUCGAUUUUAAGAUUAAUAGUAAGAUGCAAUAUUUUAAUUUUUUAAUAGUUUAUUUAAAGGAUAGGAUUUUUUUUUGUUAAGAAAAAGUGAGUUUUAUUAUUUUAUUUAUUAUGUUAUUAAAAAUUUUAAGUUUUUAAUGUGGUAAAAUUCCAAUUGUGUAUUUAUACUUGUUUAAAAAAGCAGAGUUCUCAGACCUUUAACAUCUAGGUGGUUUCUGGUUGCAAAUUGACUAUAGUUGAUACUAAAUCAUCCUCUAGGCAGGAAUUCUGGGUAGAGAAAUAUCUUAGUUCAAUACUUUUACUAAUUACUCCCUGAACAUUUUGUUUUCAUCAAUUUUGCUAAAGGCUUUUUCAGUACCACAAGGAUUUAUACGGUAUUAUACAGUAUUAUACGAUAUUAUACAACAAAAAAAUAAAGUACCGUAUUUUAACAACUCUAGAUAUAACAGAAAAAAAUUGUUUAAUGCUGUUAUCGAAUCUUAUAAUAAAAAUUGAUAUCAAAAUCACUUCAAAAUUACAUAAGUUCUGAAAAUUUAAAUAAUAGCUUAAAAUAUAUGUUAUUAUAUAACUUUAAUUGUUCAUGGUUACGUUUUGUACCAACGCGAAGGGGCGGUACCAAGGAGAAAUUUUUUGGAGGCUAAGGCCGCAUCCAUUUUCGUCAAUACAUUCAACUACACGUAUAAAAAACUAGAACGAUAGAAAUCAAUUUCUUGAACGAUAAAGAUUUUGCAUUAUUUUAAAGGAUAAAUAUUGUCUAAGAACAUUUUUAACUGUGUAUAAUAUUACAUAUGAUAUAAGACAACACUUUCCCUAUCACCAAUACUCGUAAAAAUCUUAUUUACACAUUGGCACAGGACUUUGUGCAAAUGUCACUAAAUUCAUUGAACGGGAAUAAUUAUAUUUUUUUCUUCAAAUCUAUAAUAAAUUUGUCAAACAUAAAGACCUACAUUAUUUCUUCAAAUAUAAAAAAUAAUAUUCAAAUAAUGAUGAAUUGCAGAGUAUUGAGGGGAUUUACACUCUUUCUAUCUUUGGGUAUUUUGGCCACGUAUUAAUAAUUUAUAUAUAGAAUAGACGUGUUCACGAGUAGUACUUUAAGUGCUCGAGCACUACAUGCGAAAUUUUAUAAAUUAAGAUAUUUAACUUUUUCACAUUAUAGACAAAUAAAAUUUUAAAAAUCGGUUUGAGUAUAUGUAUUCUACUCUCCUAAAAUAUAUUUUAUAUAAUAAUAGAUUUUUUUUUAACUUCAUGUGGAUUGUAGAAGAAAGGGCUAAAUCUUCUUCUUCCUCGUCUUAAUCCCAACUACUUGGGGUCGGCCAUCCUUAUUCUAAACUUCCACUAAACACAAUCUCCCACAUCAUCUACGCUCACAUUAGCUGUCCUCAUAUUGCAUUCAAUAGCGAAUUCCUCUUUUUUGGUAUUCCUCUACCUCUUCUUCCUUUAACAUUCAUUGAAACUGUUCCAUUCCUAUACUUGACAAGUAUACUAGUACUUGUUCACUUGUACAAGUAAUAAACAAAAGCCAAAUAUACUAUUCCUACGAUUGGAUCAAAUGCCAAAUAAUUGUAAAUGGGGUAGGAUCUGAAAAAUAUUAAGUCAUGUAUCAUUUGCUUUUUGAGGGCUGCAGUAUUUGGACCUUUUUUUUUUCAUUAAAUACAACUGUUGUAUUAAAGUGUUACACUCCUCUACUAAGCAGUGCAUCAGUUGAGAGAGUUGUUGGUGUUGCUACAAUCACUAAAAUAAGGAGUAACAUGUCUGUUAACACAUUUUGAAUAAAUAAUGUUUUUAAAGUGCAACCAGCAAAUUUUGUUAUUAAAAAAAAAUAACUUCCAAUUUCAAUCAUUAUUUUGAAGAUUAUUUCAAAUACAUAAUUAUUAAUAGUAUUUGAGUGGUAAUUUAAAUACUUUUUUUAUAAAUUAUAUGAGUAAAUACUUAAGGCGUCUGGGUACCGACCGCUUUUUAGUCAAAAACAACCCGUUUUUGUUCCAUCAGUACGACGAAACUACUGAUGCGAUAAGAAUUCUGAAAACAUAUCUGAAUUCAGCAUCAUGUCACUUAGGUAUCGGUCAGGCCAUAUUUUUGAAAUUUUGAUGUUUUUAACCCUUUAUUACAGUUUUCAUUUUCGAAUAAUUUUAAAAUUUUCAAAAUAAUUUUUUACGUUAAAGGAAUCACAAUUUCAAAAAAGUGGCCUGACCGAUACCUAAGUGACAUGAUACUAAAUUCAAAUUUGUUUUCAGAAUUCUUAUCGCGUCAGUAGUUUUGUCGUACUGAUGGAACAAAAACGGGUUGUUUUGUACGCUUAAACUAAUGGAUUUCAAACAGUAGCUGUUAUAUGUGACAUGCUCGUGCGCGUAUGUGCGUUAUCCGCUGCAGCUAUUUUUUUGCCCAUAGGUUGCUAGGGCAAUACCGACUGCCUAAAAAUAGUUACAAUGCAUACUUGAUAUUAUACCUGUAUAUAUGAUAUUAGAUUAUUUGCUUUUAUCUUAUUUGCAAACCUGUCAUCAUUACAUAGUAAGAAACAAAUUUUGUUGUUGUAUUCCUAUAUAAGUGUCGCUAAAAAAAUGGGGAGUCAUAAAAAAAUAUCUGGUAAGGUACGAAUAUAUAAAAAUAAUUUUCAUACACUUUCUUAGUUUCGAUAGAAAACUGAGAAGGUAUUAGUUUUACUAUGAUGUGUUUUUUGCUUGUGUCUAUCCAUAUCUGUACCUACUGGACAUUUAUUGUUCAACGAUACGCCAAAAGAUCAAAAAAUAUAUCUUGUUGAUGUAUUCAGCAUUAUAUUUUAAUAAUUUCUCUUUAAAUCUGACACAAAAACGUGUUUUUCUCAGUCUCACACUAUGUUAUCAAACUAGAUCUAACACUAAGUAACUGAUGUUAUGAAUAAAAUGAAUUUUAAACUACAUACAAUAAAAAAAAGUAAAUCAUUUUUUUAAAAAAAGGUGGUCAGAUUUGAGUGAUAAUGAGAUAUAACCUAUAUUUAAUAUAAUACGAAGUGCUUAGAAUUCAUGAGGUAUAAGUGACAUUUCAAAAAAAAAAAAAUUAUUUAGGUACACCAUCAGACUGAAAAUUAAUAGUUCUUAUUAGUAGAAAAAAUUUGUAAAUAAAAAACACAUUAUUGUAAAAUCAAGAUACCACUUCAGCUACACAUGAAAAUUAAAAAAUAAAUACAAUAUACAUUAUUUUGGUAGAAUGUUUCCAAUUCUCAAACUAACAUUUUACUUGACAUACCUCAAACAAGUAACGAGGAGAAUUUAAUAAAUGAAAAAAUUGGAGAUGAUAGUUUUUAUGAUUUUUUACCAUUGUCACCCAGUGCACAAACUCUUGAUACUUGUAAAAAAAUUUCUUCAGAAGUUAACCAAUUAUUCAAAAAGAGUUAGUUUAUUUUUUAUAGUAUUAUUUUACAAUGAAAUUAAUACACAUAUUUAACUAUUUUAGGUAUAAUUUAA